rnacentral:rRNA from 1 species
UACGAAGGGGGCUAGCGUUGUUCGGAAUCACUGGGCGUAAAGCGCUCGUAGGCGGCUCUUUAAGUCAGAGGUGAAAUCCCAAGGCUCAACCUUGGAACUGCCUUUGAUACUGGGGAGCUCGAGUCCGGGAGAGGUGAGUGGAACUGCGAGUGUAGAGGUGAAAUUCGUAGAUAUUCGCAAGAACACCAGUGGCGAAGGCGGCUCACUGGCCCGGUACUGACGCUGAGGAGCGAAAGCGUGGGGAGCAAACAGG